rnacentral:misc_RNA from 1 species
AGAACGUGGGGGUGGAUUACCUCCUUUCUAUGGAGUAUAUUAAUACACUAACACGAUAUACACCUGUUACAUAUAACGGUGAAACAAUUAAAACCCAGCAAGAAAAGUUAAACCCAUAAAAGCAAAUUGAUAACUUAAAAAUUGUUGGUCGGAUUCUAUUCAGUUCUCAAGGAGCAUUUCGUUAACUAUUUAUUAAAAGUCUCUCAAAAAAUAUUUUUAGCCUAGAUAGUAUUCUAGGCUAUUUUUAUUGCUAAAGAUUAGCAAUUUCGUGAUAGAAUUAAUAAUGGUUGUUUAAACCUUAUUGAUCACAUAACUAAUAAACUAACUAACUAAAUCAUUGAUGCAUAAUUAACUGCAUCAAUGAUUUUUUUGUUAUUUUUACCGCAAAAAAUGCAGAUUCAUCUGUUCAAACCAAUUAUUUAAAAAGGCUUUUUUUUAUUAUUAAUCAUUCGUUAUUUUUUUACUUGUGAUUUUAGCUUUAAAACUUAAAAAAAAUUUAAUGAUAAAAGUUAAAAAAGCAAAAUAAUUUAUCCAGAACUGAUUUGUUGUGGUAUAAUCUUUAAGGCUGAUAAAGCUACAUUGUUCUUUGAAAACUGAAUACGACAAAUCUUUCUAGUCCGAAAUUUGAUUAAAGUAUCAAAUCAAAUUUCAUAUAAUAUAGAUUCAAUAAAAAUAGCUAAUGGAUCAAAUACAUAAGUUACUAAG